GUUGUGGUUCAGCGGCAGAGCACUCACCUAGCACAUGUGAGGCCCUGGGUUCGAUCCUCAGCAUAACA
rnacentral:tRNA from 1 species